AAAGUCCAUUAACCCCUUGGUGGCCAAGCAAUUGGAAGUCAACUCUGAUGUGUAAAGUAUGAGUAGGGCUAUUCAUAUGACACUUUAAGCCACAUGUUGCUUCCUAGGUUCCUUCUGUGGGGGAAACUGGGUCUUGGAUAAUUAACAAAUACUCACUGAACACAGUGCAUUGUCCCAAGGGCUUUACAUUUGUCAUCUUUAUACUCAAGAGUCCUUUGAAAGAGAUACUAUUGUAUGUCAAGCCCUUUUUACAGAUGAAGGAACUAAGGGAGGGGUUAAGAAGCGCUGGCUUGGUAUUUGAGAAGUGGUUGAUGGAAGAUACUGGUGAAGAUUGUCCAGUCCCAACAGCCACACUGUCCUUCAUUCAGAGCCAUCAGUAGUCCUCAGCCUUGGAUGCACAUAAGACACUUGGGAACCUUGAAAUAUCGAUUUCUGGAUCCCACCAUAGAGAUUCUGAUUUAAUUCUGAUUCUUGACAUGGGGUUUUUGAAAGCUCCCAGGCUGUUUUUAAGUGAAACCAAGGUGUAGGGCUAUGAACUGAUUUUAUUCAUGAAGAAGCAAGUUGGGAGGUUACAUGCUAGUCAGUAGGUAGUAAGCGACUAAGCUAAAAUUUAAACCCAGUUACAUCUGAUGCCAAAGCCUAGUUUUUCUUUCUUUCUUUCUUUUUCUUUUUUCAGUACCAGGGAUUGAACCCAGGGGCUAAUUUAAUGCUGAGCUACAUCCCCAGCCCUUCGGGGUCUUACUUAGUUGCCGAGGCUGGCCUUGAAUUCAAUCCUCCUGCCUCAGCCUCCUGGGUCACUAGGAUUACAGGUAUAUGCCACUGUGCUCAGCUGUCUAUUCCUUUAAUAUAAACUGGCACAUAUGAAUCACUGGAGAUCUUAUUUUAAAAUGAAGUUUCUAUUCAGUAAGUCUGGAGUGGACCUGAGAUUCCUAAUAAACAUCCUGUUGAUGCUAAUGUUGCUGGCCCAUCAACCACUUGGGUAACAAGGGAAUAAGCCUUACUGUCUUUUCAAGGGCAGGAAUCUGUCUGACUAAUCUUCCCACUUCAGCGUGUAACACUGGUCACUCCCCAAAUGUUAACUCACCUCUUUAGAAUCAGACCAACAAGUCCUGAACUGUUAAUGGCUUCAAAUUCAAUUGUAGGAUGUUUUAACUUUGGCCCAAGUUGGAUAACAGUUCUUGUCUUCUCCCCUCCCCAUCUUGCUUUGAAUUCUUUGAACAAAGAAACUAAUUUUUGGCUUUCCUGUACUCUUGAUGGAAUUACAGGACAUCAUAGCCUUCUAGGACAGGAGGGUCUAAGCGAUUAAAGAUAAUAAUUUCUUAAAUCUCCCACAAGAAAUGCAUGUCUCAAUUUCAGUAGGUAAAAGGUCACAACAAUUUGAAAGCAGUUAGUGUGAAGGAUCCCUGAGCAGGGCUUCAAAUAAUAGUCAAGAAAUCUUCUUAUUGGUUUUGGCUUUAAUGAGACUAAUUCCUUACAUUACCAAAGGAAAUUUAUCUGCCCCCUUUUCCUCUGCCAAGCCCAUUCCUGUCUUCCCUAUCUGAGUUCAUGGGGUCUGCAUCCUCCCAGUGUCAAAACACAAGAUGCAUCUUUGGCUCCUUCUGCUCGCUCCUCUCCUAUCUCCAAUCCAGCACCAAGUCCUGUUGAGUUUCUUCUAUAAUCUCUCACAUUUGCUACUUCCUCUUUUAUCUCACUGUCACUAUUCCAGGCUAUGUUUGUCCCCUUUGCCUGGAUUAUUAAAACUACUUCCGAGUUGAUCUCCUACAGCCAUCUUCCCCUCCAGUCCAUCCUUUAAUUCACUUCCUGUGCUUGCUGCUCAAAAACCUUAAGUAACCCCCAAAAGGAUACUAACUAAACCUAAAUCCUUACUGGCAUUCGGUCACUCCAUGAUCUGGCCCUAACCUAGCUCAUUUCCCCCACUCUUAUCUUACUUUUCCUUAUUAUGUAUCCAACAUUCCACAAAAUGCCAUUCCUUGAUUGUUUUCCAAUUUCUAACCUACACAGCUGCUAUCCAUUACCAGGAAACAAUCCUUCCCCCAUCUCUGCCUCUUGAACCUCUACCCAUCUCUCAAGGCAGACACUAGUGCUGUCUUCCCCAGGAAGCAUCCCUUUCCUACAGCCAGAAGUGGUCUUUCCUGCCCUGUUGUUCCCAUGACACAAUAUAGUGUGAUGGCUGAACACAGGGUUUUGGAGUUGGGUUGUUUGGAUGUGAAUCCAGGCUCUGUCAUUUAAUAGCUGUGUGAACCUAGGCGAGUUACUUAUCCUUUCUGAACCUUAUUUUGUUCAUCUAUUAAAAAAGGGAGGGGGAGCACCUACUUUCUGGAAUGGCUAUGAGUAUUUAAUGAGUUAUAUACAUAAAACGUGUGCUACAGUGCUAGUAAGUGGCAGCAUGAUUGUAAUGCUCUUGAGUGUGUGACACCAGUGUCAUGGUACUGGAUGUGUCUUAUCUCCCCUGGUCUCAGUAGUGCAAGCACUGGACUUUUAUUUUACAUUCUAUAUCCUCAUGCCUACUACGUGAUAGACAUGCAGGAAAUGAUUAACUAUCUACCAAGUUCAUCUUUCCAAAGAACUUCCAAUACCCUCCUUGCUACAAACCUACAAGCCAAUUCCUUUUAUGCAGAUACAGGAGAAAUUCUUUGAGGUUAAAUUUUCGUCUUCAUGGAUAUCAAAUCCUAGCUGAAAUGCUUUGGCCAUAAUAAAAGAUGUAUUACUAUUCCCUGAAAGGUCAUGAUAUACUUGGGCUUUAAAAAUCUGCUUCUAUGGGGCUGGGUUGUGGCUCAGCAGUAGAGCACUUGCCUAGCACAUUCAAGGCCCUGGGUUUGAUCCUCAGCACCACAUAAAAAUAAAUAAAUAAAAUAAAGGUAUUGUGUUCAACUACAAUUAAAAAAUAAAUAUUUAAAAAUAAUCUUUAAAAAAGCUGCUUCUGUUUCAUAGGAAGCCUCGGUUUGGGGUCAUGAUGUCUUUUUGAGUCUGGAACCUUUGUAUUAUG
rnacentral:lncRNA from 1 species